CAGGAGACUGAAAGGCACAAAUGGGGAACUUUAGACAAACUGACAAAAAAAAAAGUCACGGAUGCUUCUGGUAGCAUACAGGAAAUCCUGUUUUGAAUCAAAGAAUUUUGCUGGGCUGCCCCAGGACAAUGCUCUGCCAGCAUCCCCGACCCUCUCUCCUGACACCUCUGCUCAAGUUGUGGUUUGGCCCUGGAGGUCUACGCUGGCCAGGAACAGCCUGAACUGAACUUCAGAUAAUGAGAAAGUUCCGUGUUUGCCUGAGGCAUGACAAGUCAUUCAACAGAAUCUCAUACUGGUACAUACCGCUCUUCUUCCAUCAGGAAGUGUUAUCUAGGCUGGUUAUUACUGCUUUCAGUAACAGGAUACGGUAGAAGUGACAUUGUGCCAGCUCUGGGCCCUGACCUUGAAGGUACUGAUAGCUUUCCUUCCUACUCCUGGAGCCCUGAGUGCCAUGGAAGAAAUCUAGACUACUUCACUGGGGAGAGGCCAUGUGGAAGAGGCAAAGAGACACCAGACAUGUGUGAAGAAGCCCUGUUAAAUGUCCAAUCCACUGAAGCCUUUACAUAAUUCUAGCCCCUGACUCCACUUGACUGAAUGAGAUCAGAAACUAUAACUGCCAAGUUCAGCUCAUUCAACUCACAGAAUCAUAAAUGUCAAUAAAUUGUUUAAGUCUCUCAGUUUUGGAUCGGUCUGUUCCAUAGCAACAGAUAACUAAAUUAUGAUCAUUCAUUUUAAUGCAGUAAUUCUGAGAAUCUAGAAAAAAUUCUGAAAUAUGGACCAAGAUUCAUGAACAAAGAUAUUUAGUGUAUCAUUGAUGACCGCUAUCAAAAAGUAGAAACAUAGUACAAUAGUCAAGUAAACUGUAUAUAUACUCUAUUACGUAGCCAUUUAAUGCCUAAGAAGAGCUUUUAAUAUCAUAAGAAGCUUAAAACAUAUGUAUUAAAAAAAGGGAAAGAAAGAAAAGAAACUGAGUUCCCUAAAUUAUAAACACUCUAUGAUCACUUAAUCAACAAAUAUAGAGAGAUGACUGAAAGUAAAUUGGCUAAAAUAUUAGCAUUUUUAAUUGAGUGGUAGGUAUGGUAUAAUUGUUAUUGUCCUCUUUAUACUUCUCUGGAUUUUCUAAAUUUUCUACAGCGGUCAUUUUUUUUUUUAUUUUUCUGAUCAUAAAAGUAACACAUGCCUAUUUUAAGAAAAAAAAUUCAAAAGGUCAUAAAAAUAAAGUGAGUCAACCCAAGCCCACUUUGUAGGAGAUAACCACUGUCAACAUUUUGUCAUUAACAUUUAGGAGUUCCUCUGUACAUUUCCAUGUGUAAAUGCAUUUUAAAACAGGCAACAAUACUGUACAUGCUGCCUUAUAUUCUG